CUGCGUCUGGUGCCUUCUUCAGAAAUGAAGUAAUGAGCUGGCUGCGUCCGCCAUCUUGGUAGAGAGAGCAUUCUGAGAGGAUGCGGUGGAACACUUUCUGGGGCAUCCUGUGCCUCAGCCUCCUAGCUGUUGGCACUUGCCAGGACGAUGCCGAGAACAUUGGUAAGAAGAUUUGCUCUAUUCGGCCCCUCUCGGAUGUAGAAUAAACUAAUGAGAGGGACCACCACAAAGGGAACCAGAGCUAAGAGAGGGAGACGGGGAUCGUCGGUCUGAGAUGUUUCUGGUUGUGUUGCUAGCGUCCAUGUCUGCUUGUGUGCUUCCCUGAGCACACUGUUCGGGAAAGGCACAUAGACUUGUUUUUGUGUGAACCGUAAGUUCCUUGAGAGCCAAGACAGCAUUUCAUUUGCCUGACCUUGGAUGCUCUAUGAAGUAUCUGAGUGAGUAAAUGGACAGAAUAUUAACAUUUUGCUCCUUCUUUGUCCUCAAGAAGCCAACUGUCUUGUAAGGGACACCGGUAUUUGAUGCUGCAGUGUACUGCACACAAUGAGUAGGUGUGGAAGGAAAAAAUGAAAUAUAAAAAGAAUGGCAAACUUUGCAAAGCGUAACUGAGGCAGGCAGCAAGGGGCAGGUGGCUCUUGAACUGGGUUUUAAAGGUUUCAUUUGUACUUUAGGGCAGAAGGAUGCUUGAGGCAGAGGAGAUAAAUCCUCCCAUGAGGCUCGACUGCCAAGUUGGAAUCCUGACUCAGUUUCCUAUUUGUUGAGUGAUAAUAGAUAGCUUACUUAUAUCUGGGCUAUUCGAUCAUUGUGUGGAAAUGCAAACACCCUACAGCCUUGUUGUGAAGGCUUAAUGAUUCAUCCAAGACUCACACGGUACCAUAGAAGUCAGUAGAUGGCAUUUGGCAGUUCUAUAGAAGUUUGCUGAUUAUAGGGAAUAAACAUGGGGGUGGGGGUAUGUGGAGAGAUGGCUCAGCAGUUAAGACCCCUUGCUACUUUUUCAGAGAACCAAAGUUCAGUUCUCAGUACCCAUUUCCAUCCUCCUCUAGGAGCACCCACACAUCUCUGUGCAUACAAACAAACAAACAAACAUACACAUAACAUUUCUUUUAAAUCUCUUUUUUUAAAAGGGAUUAAAUGGGUGUAGGGCUACAUGAACUUUAAUCUCAGCACUCUGGAGGCAGAGGCAGCUAGAACUCUGAGCCGGAGGCCAGCCUAGUCUACAUAGCAAGUUCCAGGUCAACCAAAGCUACAUAGUGAAGCCUCUCUCUCAGGGAAAGAGGGGGUGUGAAGAGAUGUAUACCUUAGAAGCUGAGCACAGUCAGACCUUGUUAGUAUUUGAAUAGAAGAAUGAGUGUUAAAAUUUUGUUGAGCAUAUAUGUUCUAACUAUUGCCCUAAAUAAGGGAGGAGAGGCUUAGAAAUGACAGUCCAAUCAAUGAGGGGAAAAGAGUUUAUAAGAAGCUCAAUUUCUUAACCAUUGUGAAAUGCCAUGGAUGUUUGUAAAGGGGGAUGUGGACAAACUUCACGAACACAUCUGUUUCUAUGCAUGGGUAUCCUGUUUUUUUAUGAGCAUGUGUAAACACUCUGGCAUUGAACUUGGACCAAUAGGGCCGUAAGCUCUUUUGUUUUUGUUUUUUUUUUUUAACAUUCUUUCAAACUAGCCUCCUAAACAUAAUAUCACUUUACCUUAUUUAUGAUUUUUGAUUCACAUAAGCUUUCUAGGAAACAUCGAUGGUAAAAAUUAAGUCAAAGUAACCCUCUAUUUUCAUUGUACCCAGCUCCCAGCUGGCGGCUGGUAGAGCAGAAUCUGUGUGUACAAAGACGCAGCCGAGUGACUGCUGAAUGGCUGAGUGUGAGCCCAGCACUGGUCUCCGUGGUAGCAGGAUCUCAGGGAGAAAGGGAGGCAAGAAAGCAGCACUUUUCAUGAGCAUCUGCUACGUGAAUCCAUGUUCGCCUUCAGAGUCCCUUCGAUUCUCUCAGAUGCCUCUGAGGCAGUCAUUUGACCUCCAUUCCCCUGAUGAGGAGACUUGAAGCUGGGAGCCAUGGUACAUGCCUGUAAUCCCAGCACAGCCCUGGUUCCUCCUACCAACC
rnacentral:lncRNA from 1 species